GGCCGGUGAUGUUAGAAAAUAUUUGCUACUCUUGAUGGGAAACCCCAUCUGAUGAAUUUUUUUCCACCAAGAUCUCUGAGGCC
rnacentral:snoRNA from 1 species